rnacentral:lncRNA from 1 species
AUGGCCAACAGAGCACAUGAUUGAAAAGAAGCUCAUCAUUAGCGAUUAGGGAAAUGCAAAUCAAAACUGUAAUGAGAUAGCACUUCACACCCAUAACAAUGGUGCUAAUUUUAAAAAUGGAAAAUAACAAGUGUGGGCAAGAAUAUGGAAAAAUCAGAACUCUUGUGCAUUGCUAAUGGGAAUGUAAAAUGGUGCAGCUGCUGUGGAAAACAAUCUGGUAGUCCCAAAAGUAAAACAAAGAAUUAUCUCGUGAUCCAGCAAUUCUACCCCCAGGUAUAUACCAAAAAGAUGGAAAAAGGUGUUCAAGCAAAUACUGGUAUGUGAAUGUUCACAGUAGCCCUGUUCACAACAGACAGAAAGUGGAAACAACCCAAACGUCCAACAAUGGAUAAAGGGACAAACAAAUUAUGGUACACGUGCAAUGGAAUAUUACUGAGCCAUGAAAAGGAAUGAGGUAUGGAUACAUUCUGUAACAUGGAUGAACCUCAAGAACACGAGGCUAAAUGAAAGUAGCCAGACAUGAAAGGUCACAUAUGAACUUUAAACCGGCACCCAAUAUAGAAGCUGACACAGAACAGGAGUCCAGCAAGUGUUAGUUAAAUCAGUACGUUAAUCUAUAAUUAUCGUCAAGUAUUGACUACGACUUUGAAAGCAAGAAAUGUAUUUGGCCAAACUUCUGGCGUUUGACAUCUGGCAGUUUAGUUAACCUCUAAAAACCUCACUUACCUCAUCUGCAAAUGGAACUGAAAAGAGUACUGUCACAGCCAGCCUCCAACGUGGCCCCCAGGCAUCUCGUCUCCUGAUUUUCACGCCUUUGCAUGGCCCCUCCCACACUGAAAAGGGCUCGCCCAAUGACCAAUAGGACGUUGAGGAAAUGACGAUGCCUGACUUCUGGGGCUGCGUCAUAAAGAUGCUGCGGCUUCUGCCUUGCUGUCUUUUGGAUCGCCUGCUGGGGGGGGCGGGGGGGGAAGCCAGCUGCCACGUUGUGAGAACACUCAAGCAGCCCCGUGGAGGAGUCCACGUGGUGAGCAACGCUGCCUCCCGCCAAUAGCCAGGUAGUAAAGAUGCCGCCAGCCCACGUCAGGCCUUUAGAUGACCACAGCCACAGCCAAUAUCUAAUUCCGGCUUCAUGAGAGAUCCUGAGCCAGAACCAUCCAGCUGAGCUGCUCCUGGAUUCCUGACCUGGAGAAACUGCGAGAUAACAAAUGACCGUGGUUUUGAGCCACUAAAUUUUAGGGUUAUUUAUUAUGCAGCAAUAAAUAACUAAUACAUGGGCC